GACGAACGCUGGCGGCGUGCUUAACACAUGCAAGUCGAACGGAAAGGCCCUGCUUUUGUGGGGUGCUCGAGUGGCGAACGGGUGAGUAACACGUGAGUAACCUGCCCUUGACUUUGGGGAUAACUUCAGGAAAACUGGGGCUAAUACCGGAUAGGAGCUCCUGCUGCAUGGUGGGGUUGGAAAGUUUCGGCGGUUGGGGAUGGACUCGCGGCUUAUCAGCUUGUUGGUGGGGUAGUGGCUUACCAAGGCUUUGACGGGUAGCCGGCCUGAGAGGGUGACCGGCCACAUUGGGACUGAGAUACGGCCCAGACUCCUACGGGAGGCAGCAGUGGGGAAUAUUGCACAAUGGGCGGAAGCCUGAUGCAGCAACGCCGCGUGCGGGAUGACGGCCUUCGGGUUGUAAACCGCUUUCGCCUGUGACGAAGCGUGAGUGACGGUAAUGGGUAAAGAAGCACCGGCUAACUACGUG
rnacentral:rRNA from 1 species